AUUGAACGCUGGCGGCAUGCCUAACACAUGCAAGUCGAACGGGGGUAGGGGCAACUCUACUUCAGUGGCGGACGGGUGAGGAAUGCGUCGGAAUCUACCCUAUGGUGGGGGAUAACACAGGGAAACUUGUGCUAAUACCGCAUGAUGUCGAGAGACCAAAGCAGGGGACCGCAAGGCCUUGCGCGAUAGGAUGAGCCGACGCCCGAUUAGCUAGUUGGUAGGGUAAAGGCCUACCAAGGCGACGAUCGGUAGCUGGUCUGAGAGGAUGAUCAGCCACACUGGGACUGAGACACGGCCCAGACUCCUACGGGAGGCAGCAGUGGGGAAUAUUGGACAAUGGGCGCAAGCCUGAUCCAGCAAUGCCGCGUGUGUGAAGAAGGCCUGCGGGUUGUAAAGCACUUUUGUUCGGGAAGAAAACGGAUCGGUUAAUACCCGGUUCGGAUGACGGUACCGAAAGAAUAAGCACCGGCUAACUUCGUGCCAGCAGCCGCGGUAAUGUAUCG
rnacentral:rRNA from 1 species